GAUGAAGAACGUAGCGAAAUGCGAUAAGUAAUGUGAAUUGCAGAAUUCAGUGAAUCAUCGAAUCUUUGAACGCACCUUGCGCCCUUUGGCCAUUCCGAAGGGCAUGCCUGUUUGAGUAUCAUGAACACCUCAACUCUUCAUGGAUUUCCAUGAUGAGCUUGGACUUUGGGGGUCUUGCCGGCCUGUGGUCGGCUCCUCUCAAAUGAAUCUGCUUACCGGUUUUUGGUGGGCAUCACAGGUGUGAUAACUAUCUACGCUUGUGGUUUUCCACCAGGGUAACCUUCAGCAGUGGAGGUUCACUGGAGCUUACAAAUGUCUCUCCUCCGUGAGGACAGCCCUUUGAAUGUUUGAUCUCAAAUCAGGUAGGACUACCCGCUGAACUUAAGCAUAUCAAUAAGCGGAGGA
rnacentral:misc_RNA from 1 species